AGCUCACGUAGCUUAGUGGUAGAGCAUUCGCCUCGCAUGCAGAAGGUCCCAGGUUCAAGCCCCAACACCUCCAGGUGUGGCUG